rnacentral:lncRNA from 1 species
GCUAAUGGAAUUCCCAGGCCAGGGAUCAGAUCCUAGGCGCAACUGUAACCCAAGCCACAAAUGUGGCAACACUGGAUCCUUAACCCACUGUGCUGGGCGGGGCAUCGAACCUGCGUCCAGCACUCCCAAGACACUGCCGAUCCUGUUGCGUCACAUGGGGAACUCCGGGCUACCAUUUUAUGGUAUUUUGCUGUGGCAGGCCCGAGCUGAUUAAGACCCCUUGUAGCAAAGGGAAAUAACUCAAGACUCAGGUUCACCUGCUCAUACACAUGGUUUCAGCGAGAUCCAGAGUUAACGAUCCAGUGAUGAUACUCUGCACCUACCAGUGCACGGGAACGUUUAGGGCAACCCCACGGUGGCCCAGCUUUAUUUCUGCCAGAUUCAUAAUAAUAAUGUAAUUUUUACUGGAAUGAGAAGACGGGGUGGGCCACCCCGCCUAACCAUCUCAAUAAGGCUCCCACUUGCUCUCCCAAUAUAUUAAAUCUCAAAUAUUACUUUUUUAAAGUUUUAGAGAAUACCUUUUUUUUAACACAUUCAUACUGCAGCAAAUCUAUGACCACAGCAAAGGCUAUUUAAUAUACUCCAGCUGUGCCUUCUUUGAAAUAGGUCAUUUUAUCUAUAGAAUGAAAUAUUUCACAAUAAUUUAAUUUUAAAGAGAAUAGAGCAUGGCGUCAGCCCAGGCAAGCUCUACUUAUAAGCUUUCCGUGUCUCCGAUAACCAGAGUUCACUGCCACCAUCUCCAUCCUCCCAGCUCACUUGUCAGCUCACUGCUGCAUAAGUGGUCUAGAAAUCUUGGGGUCCCACCUCGUAAAUGCCAGAAUUUCCUUUUGAACUUCUUUGGGUGACAUCUCAAGUAUUCUGUGAUUUCCUGACAUAUAAAUAAGGCAUGUUCCAUAAAAGGCAUCUACUUCCUUUUAUAUGAUUCCACAAGAAGAAGCUCAUAUUUACUACAGAAAAAAAAAUCCAAAAACAUAGAUUAGAAAAAAAAAAAUUAGUCUAGACACACAGUCACACAUACACACAAACGCACAACUUUUUUUUUUCUUUAAACCAAAACACUGGAUUAUUUGCUAUAUGUUUGUCAGGAACAUAUGAGUGAUGUCUUUUCAUACCAAUGAAAGUAUUAGAAAUACUUGUCAACAUUCCCCAUGCUGCAGGGUAUUAUAUGUAUGGCAGAAUCUUAGUAAUUUAAUGGAUUCCUACUUUUGGACACUGAGAUUGUUUCCCAUUUUUUUCUGUUAUGAGCAGGACCUGCAAUGAAAAUUCCUAGAGCUAGGGCUGUGUAGGUAUCACCCCUUAUUUUCUCAGGGGACAUUCUUAGAAGCAGUAUGUCUGGAUUAAAGGAGUUAUUUUGAAGGCUUUUAACAUAUAUUGCAAACCCACCCUUCAGAAACAUCUCAAAGGACAUCUGCCUCCGCCAAUCCUGCCAUCAAACCAUUGGUUAGGGAUUCCGUGUUAAAGGAAGAAUUCUCAUCGUCAGGUAAUAAAGAGGGAGGCUCUCCAAGCACCUGGGGUCCUCAGGUCCUUUGGGCUCACCCUCACCUUCACUGUUUCCUGCCCUAACCACCAAGGGGGUCAUCUGUUCUAGACCCACAGCCCCUUCCAACCCCAAAGGUGAGCCUUCCUCCAGUGUGCAACAGACCCCUUCUGACAGGAGCCUUGGAAAUCUUAGCUUAAUGUUAGGUCAGAAAUGAAGACUAUCAGAAAAAACAAACAAACAAAAACGAUAAUGAAAUUUGAGGUCUCGGGAUAAAAUGGCAUUGACCCCAGAUAUUGUGGCUCUCGUCUCCACAGAGACGUAAUUACUAUUAAAACAUCAUUACCUUUAUUGCCUAUUUCCUGGGAAUCUGUUCCAAAUGUCUGACAUUUCUUUUUAUUUUUUAAUGGCCACACUUGUGACAGAUGGAAGUUUCCAGGCUAGGGUAGAAUCUGAGCUGCAGCUGCCACCCCCAGCCACAGCAAUGCCAGAUCUGAGCCACAUCUGCAACCUAAGCUGCAGCUUGUGGCAACGCCAGAUCCUUACUUAACCCACUGAGCAAGGCCAGGGGUCGAACCCACAUCUUCACAGAGAAAACACCAGGUUCUCAACCCGCUGAGUCACAAAGGGAACUACGACAUUUCCAUUUUUCAAGCUAGCAUUAAGCUGGAAACUAAAGUAAACUUAAACUCUGUCUUAGCUGGAGCAUCUUGGUGCCCCCGACAGGAAGCUGGGAGGGGAGGUACAAUUCUUGGCAAUUCCUGACCAUGCCUCCCAAGACCAUUCAACAAGACUUGUGCAAAGGAAAGAACUGUCUACCCAUUGAAUCAGCAGAAACCCACUGGCACAUCGUUCCCUGAAGCCACAGAGAGCUUGUAUUUUAAAUUACAAGCAAAGCAUUCAGGAGAAUAAAAUAUUUUUAUUAAUGGAAAAAGUAAGCUGCCUAAAGUAAAAACAUUUUAUUCAUGAGAAUAAAAUGUUACUACUAAUGAAAAAAGUAAACUGACCUACAAAUGGAGACCCCUAUUUGGAGGCCAGCUAGAAACUCUAGACCCUCAAGAUACAACUCUAAUUUUCAAGGCUUACAUACAGUAUAAAAGUCAGAGCAACAACAAAAAAAAUACGUUGGGAUGUUUCUGCUUAAAAAUUGUAAGCAUAUGUACAUCAAAAAAACAAAGAUAAAGAAACCAAAAUCUCCACCUUAAAGGAAGAAAACAGUAUAUAACUCCAGAAUUCUAACAAUGUCAUUUAUCAUAUUAACAUAUUAAAGUAGGGGAAGGAGAAAAAUGGUUAUCCUUUAAGUGUGUUAAACCUCUCAAUACACACACUCACCCUAGAAAAUGCAGAGAAAACAUCUAGAAGGAUUACAACAAAAUAUUAAGAGUGGUAUCCUCUGUAGAAGAAAGAGGAAUAAAGGUGUGUGAUGGUUAAUUUCAUGUGUACCCAUAUAUUUGGUUAAACAUUACUUAAGGUAGUUCUAUGAAGGUAUUUUUGGGAUGAGAAUAACAAUUUAAAUCCAUAGAUGCUGAAUAAAGCAGAAUACCCUUCGCGGUGUGGGUGGGCCUCGCCCAACAGUUGAAGGCCUGAAUAGAAAAAGACUGAUCUCCCCCCGGCAAGAAGGCAUUCUGCCAGCAGACUGCCUGUGAACUUGAACUACAAUUCCCCCCUGGGUCUCCAACUUGCCAGUCACCUGCAGAUCUGCAUCUGCCUAAGCUUCCACAAUUGUGUGAACCAGUUGCUUAAAAUAAAUCUCUCUAGAAGUUCCCAUUGUGAAUCAUCCCUUUGUCCAGCACGACCCACUGCCCGAAUUCACUUAGUAGCCAUCUUGGUUUUCAGAUUGACUGUCCUGGUAUAGCAGUGCUCAUGUUCAAAACAACAUUUACUGGAGUUCCCACUGUGGCACAGUGGGUUAAGGAUCUGAUGCAGCAGCCUUAGUUGCUAUGGAGGUGCAGGUUCAAUCUCUGGCCCCAUGCAGUGGGUUAAAGAAUCUAGUAUUGCCAUGGCUGUGGCUCAGAUUCAAUCCCUGGCCCAGGAACUUCCACAUGUCAUAGAUGUGGCAUUAAGCAAACAAAUAAAUAAAUAAAUAAAUCUACCCCCAUAUAUAGAGAUACAGAUAUAAAUGUACAGCAAUGGAUAAAUCUCACUAACUAAAUAGCUGUACCUAUCUAAAUCAAUAUAUAUGUAUACAUCUAUCAAAUUAUGCAUAUCUCUCUAUAUCUAUAGAGAUACACACACACCACAUAUACUCUCUACUGGCUCCAGCUCUCUGAAGACCCCUGAUUAAUACAAGAUAGGUGGGGAAGGAAUACUUCAAAGAACUGAUUUCACUUUUUACCCUUNNNNNNNNNNNNNNNNNNAGCCUACACCACAGCCACAGCAACACAGGAUCCGAGCCACAUCUGCGACCCAAACCACAGCUCACGGCAAUGCCAGAUCCUUAACCCACUGAGUGAGGCCAGGGAUCGAACUUGCAACCUCAUGGUUCCUAGUCGGAUUCAUAAACCACUGAGCCACGACGGGAACUCCCACCCUUAUAUUUCUGUACAGCCAGAAUUCUUUAAAAAGAAGCCAUAUUCAUGAGGAACUUAUACUAUUUUCAUUCACAAUGAGAACAAGUCAGCAAACACGCUGUUUACACUAAUAACAGUCUCAUAAGGAAACAGUUUUAUAAAAACAACUAUUAAAAACUCUUAAAAAAAAAAAAAAAAAAAAAAGAACCGUCUGUUGGGUCUGUUGGGGAGUGGGUACCAGUGGGCAGAAGAAAUGAGAGCUGACAAAUAGCCAAGGGAGACACUGAGGUGCCAUGUCGUGCAUACAAACACCACAUAUGGCACAAUAGUAGAGGAAAUUCCCCUGAUCAUACAGAAGAAAUAGGACACUGCCCAUUUUCGAUUGUCAAGAAAAAAAUUCCAACAUUCAUAGCAUAAUUUUUUAAAGUUCAGAGCCAAGAGAAUAAACUUCAAUUACCUGAAAAUCUAUUUCUAUAAAAAGCCUUUCUCCAUAACAAUGCCUCCGACAGGAGCAAGGAAAGCUUAUGUGACAUUAUGAAAGAACUUAAGAAUUCUGGUCCUCUAAUGAUACACUCUAUUUCUAAAAGGUGUAUCAUUACCGCCACUGUAGGCAUAAUCAGUCUGUGUAAGAUGUGUUAGGCAUUGUUUCAACAAUCUCCUUUAUGAUUAAGCACUAUGACAAGAAAGUAAAUUCCAAGAUAGAAAUGUGAUCUACCUGGUCACUUGCUGAAGAAAUGAAUGAGUGAGUACUAGGAUUGAGGUAAACAGUUUCCUCCCAGGUGGUAAAUGAUUUUGAACUUUGCACUUCCACAUUCAGUGGUAAGGGCAUGGCUGGGACCCUCUGGGCAGCAGGCACUGUCCACCCCAGCCUGACACAUACACUUACAGGCAUCACUCCUGCACAUUUGGUGGAAGGCAAAAAAGCCCUGCAACUAUGACAGUAACAUGGCCUGAACUUGCAGACUUAACUAAUUCUCAUUGAAACUAUCACUUUGUAAAUGUGGCUCUGGUGUUAAGUAUCUCAUAAGACAUUGACAGACAGGACAUUUUAUUCCGGCUGAGAAUCACUUCUGGGGUCCUUUGAGAUGUGUUUCCAAUUGGGAUAGCUGAGGAGGUCAGGAAACUGACGGAGGCAAUCAGCAAAGUCCAUAAUCUCAGAAGGACUGUUUAUGAGCCUAGAAAUCUGUCAGACAAACCUUAUGAAACAGCUACCAGGCUAGCCUUCUAGAACUCAAAUAGCAGCAAUGUUUUCUUUUUUUAACUUUAAAAACGAUUUGGGACUUCCCAUGUGGCUCACAACAUAACUACUUGGCGUUACUUCUACAGUGGCUGUGGCUUGCCCCCUAGCCUGGGAACUUCCAUAUGCUGCAGGUGCAGCCGCUUGUUUUAAAAAACAAACAAACAAACAAAAAACCCAAAAAACAAAAAAAAGGAGUUCCUGUCGUGGCUCAGUGGUUAACGGAUCCGACUAGGAACUUAUGCUACCAAAGGCAUGUAGACCCAAGGAUGUGGCAGGCUAUGAAGGAGUUGGUGAAGGUAUGCAAUAGGUAUGCAAUAGGUAUGCAAUAGGUAUGCAAUAGGCAAGAACCUUUGUAUUCCACCACAAGUUAAUCUCUAAAGGGAUGUUGCCUAUAAGCUUAAAUUAUAUAUAAUGGCACAUCUCUGGGAACCCUGCCUCCCAGGUAAUGAGCAUUAACCUAAAAGACCUUUGUUCGGUUCACAGGAAACAUCCUGAGCAGACCCACCUGUGAAUGACUGCAGGAAGGAAGAAAUUAACACAUCCCCUCAGGAGGCUGAUGGAGACUGGGAAAUGUUUGACUCUGCUCCCUCCCUCUGCUCCCUUUUAGCAUAGAAGAAGGCUGAAUUCUAACUUAGGCAGGAGGGUUCUUUGGGACAUGAGUCUACACCUUCUCAGUCUGCUGGCUUCCCAAAUAAAGUUGUUAUCCUUUGCCCCAACAACUCAUCUCUUGGAUUUAUUGGUCUGUUGUGCAGCCAGCAGUACAAGCUUGGACCCAGUAGCAGGUACACAACAAAAACAAGAUACACAACAAAAAAACAAGGACAAUGGGUUGUGGUAGGCACUAGAGUGUUCCAGCAUUACCUACCUCUCCUACCACAUGGUAGAACUGCAUUUACUAACUCUUUCUGAAGUCUGAUUAGACUGACUAGCUUUAGAUAAUGAAAUGCAAACAAGAUAGCACUUGUCACUUCCAAGGGGAAAUUUUAAUAGAAAACAGUGCAGGAUUUGCCCCCUUUCCCCCCCCCCCCCCCCCUUUUCUUUCCUGCCAUGACUCUCCUUGAAGCUAGGAGCUGGAAUGUCUCCCUCUGAGCUUGGGUCUGUGUGGGCACAAAGCCCAGGCCCACCAUCACCUCCAGCCAGCCCACAAGAGCAUGAAUGAACAAGAAGCAGUCCUUUGGUAUUUUAAAGACCAGAAAUCUGGGGCUGUAUGUUAUCACAGCAUGCAUACCCUAUCUAAACAUAACUUAUUAUGUAAUAUGUAUAGUAGUGUGUAUUUAUAACUGUGUCAAAAGUUACUAUUUAUGUUUUCCUUGGGAAGCAUUGUCCUU